rnacentral:rRNA from 1 species
GACGAACGCUGGCGGCGUGCUUAACACAUGCAAGUCGAACGGAAAGGCCCUGCUUUUGCGGGGUGCUCGAGUGGCGAACGGGUGAGUAACACGUGAGUAACCUGCCCUUGACUUUGGGAUAACUUCAGGAAACUGGGGCUAAUACCGGAUAGGAGCUCCUGCUGCAUGGUGGGGGUUGGAAAGUUUCGGCGGUUGGGGAUGGUUUGGCGGCUUAUGAGCUUGAUAGUGGGGUAGUGGCGUACAAAGGCUUUGACGGGUAGCCGGCCUGAGAGGGUGACCAGCCUCAUUGCGACUGAGAGAGGGCGCAGACUCCAACGUGACGCAGCAGUGGGGAGUAUUGCGCAGUGGGCGGGAGCCUGUGGCAGCGACCCUGCGUGCGGAAUGCCGUCCUUCGGGGUGUAAACCGCUUUCGCCUGUGACGAGGCGGGAUUGACGGUAAUGAGUAAGGAAGCACCGGCUAACUACGUG